CGGCAGGUAGCCUAGUGGUUAGAGUGUAGGGGCGGCAGGUAGCCUAGUGGUUAGAGUGUAGGGGCGACAGGUAGCCUAGUGGUUAGAGUGUAGGGGCGGCAGGUAGCCUAGUGGUUAGAGUGUAGGGGCGGCAGGUAGCCUAGUGGUUAGAGUGUAGAGGCGGCAGGUAGCCUAGUGGUUAGAGUGUAGGGGCGGCAGGUAGCCUAGUGGUUAGAGUGUAGAGGCGGCAGGUAGCCUAGUGGUUAGAGUGUAGGGGCGGCAGGUAGCCUAGUGGUUAGAGUGUAGGGGCGGCAGGUAGCCUAGUGGUUAGAGUGUAGAGGAGGCAGGUAGCCUAGUGGUUAGAGUGUAGAGGCGGCAGGUAGCCUAGUGGUUAGAGUGUAGGGACGGCAGGUAGCCUAGUGGUUAGAGCGUAGGGGCGGCAGGUAGACUAGUGGUUAGACUGUAGGGGCGGCAGGUAGCCUAGUGGUUAGAGCGUAGGGGCGGCAGGUAGCCUAGUGGUUAGAGCGUAGGGGCGGCAGGUAGCCUAGUGGUUAGAGCGUAGGGGAGGCAGGUAGCCUAGUGGUUAGAGUGUAGGGGUGGCAGGUAGCCUAGUGGUUAGAGUGUAGGGGAGGCAGGUAGCCUAGUGGUUAGAGUGUAGGGGAGGCAGGUAGCCUAGUGGUUAGAGUGUAGGGGAGGCAGGUAGCCUAGUGGUUAGAGUGUAGGGGAGGCAGGUAGCCUAGUGGUUAGAGGGUAGGGGAGGCAGGUAGCCUAGUGGUUAGAGUGUAGGGGAGGCAGGUAGCCUAGUGGUUAGAGUGUAGGGGAGGCAGGUAGCCUAGUGGUUAGAGUGUAGGGGAGGCAGGUAGCCUAGUGGUUAGAGUGUAGGGGCGGCAGGUAGCCUAGUGGUUAGAGUGUAGAGGAGGCAGGUAGCCUAGUGGUUAGAGUGUAGAGGCGGCAGGUAGCCUAGUGGUUAGAGUGUAGGGACGGCAGGUAGCCUAGUGGUUAGAGUGUAGGGGCUGCAGGUAGCCUAGUGGUUAGAGUGUGGGGCGGCAGGUAGCCUAGUGGUUAGAGCGUAGGGGCGGCAGGUAGCCUAGUGGUUAGAGUGUAGGGACGGCAGGUAGCCUAGUGGUUAGAGUGUAGGGGCUGCAGGUAGCCUAGUGGUUAGAGUGUGGGGCGGCAGGUAGCCUAGUGGUUAGAGUGUAGGGACGGCAGGUAGCCUAGUGGUUAGAGUGUAGGGACGGCAGGUAGCCUAGUGGUUAGAGCGUAGGGGCGGCAGGUAGACUAGUGGUUAGACUGUAGGGGCGGCAGGUAGCCUAGUGGUUAGAGCGUAGGGGCGGCAGGUAGCCUAGUGGUUAGAGUGUAGGGGCGGCAGGUAGCCUAGUGGUUAGAGCGUAGGGGAGGCAGGUAGCCUAGUGGUUAGAGUGUAGGGGUGGCAGGUAGCCUAGUGGUUAGAGUGUAGGGGAGGCAGGUAGCCUAGUGGUUAGAGUGUAGGGGCGGCAGGUAGCCUAGUGGUUAGAGU